AUUGAACGCUGGCGGCAGGCCUAACACAUGCAAGUCGAGCGGAGCGGCGGACGGGUGAGUAAUGCCUAGGAAUCUGCCUGGUAGUGGGGGAUAACGUCCGGAAACGGGCGCUAAUACCGCAUACUCUCAGCUGAGCCUAGGUCGGAUUAGCUAGUGGGGGGGGUAAAGGCCUACCAAGGCGACGAUCCGUAACUGGUCUGAGAGGAUGAUCAGUCAAACUGGAACUUAGACAAGGUCCAGACUCCGAUGGGAGGGGGCAGUGGGGAUUCUGGGACAAUGGGCGAAAACCUGAUCCAGCCAUGCCGCGUGUGUGAAGAAGGUCUUCGGAUUGUAAAGCACUUUAAGUUGGGAAGCGGUACCUACAGAAUAAGCACCGGCUAACUUCGUGCCAGCAGCCGCUGUAAUAC
rnacentral:rRNA from 1 species